CUGAUCUUAGAUCUUACUCAGUUACUUGGAUAACUGUGGUAAUUCUAGAGCUAAUACAUGCAAUCAGAACUCUGACCAGUGAUGGGAUGAGUGCUUUUAUUAGAUCAAAACCAAUCGACGGAGGGCCACGCGUCUGAAGUCGUUAAUUUUGAUGAAUCUGGAUAACUUUUGCCGAUCGCAUGGUCCAGUACCGGCGACGCAUCUUUCAAAUGUCUGCCUUAUCAACUUUCGAUGGUAGUUUCUGCGACUACCAUGGUUGUCACGGGUAACGGGGAAUCAGGGUUCGAUUCCGGAGAGGGAGCCUGAGAAACGGCUACCACAUCCAAGGAAGGCAGCAGGCGCGCAAAUUACCCACUCCCGGCACGGGGAGGUAGUGACGAAAAAUAACGAUACGGGACUCUUACGAGGCCUCGUAAUCGGAAUGAGUACACUUUAAAUAUUUUAACGAGGAACAAUUGGAGGGCAAGUCUGGUGCCAGCAGCCGCGGUAAUUCCAGCUCCAAUAGCGUAUACUAAAAUUGUUGCGGUUAAAAAGCUCGUAGUUGCAUUUGUGCGCCGCGCUGUCGGUGCACCGCAUCCGCGGUGAUACUGACACGUCUGCGGAGCAUAUCGUCGGUGAGCCGGCGGUAAUACGCCGGUUCAAUAUCAAAAUCCUAUCGCGGUGCUCUUCGGUGAGUGUCGAGGUGGGCCGACAAUUUUACUUUGAACAAAUUAGAGUGCUCAAAGCGGGCUCAAAAUGCUGCUUGAAUAUUUCGUGCAUGGAAUAAUAGAAUAUGAUCUCGGUUCUAUUUUGUUGGUUUUCAGACUCCGAGGUAAUGAUUAAUAGGGAUACUGGGGGCAUUCGUAUGCGACGUAGAGGUGAAUUCUUGGAUCGUCGCAGACGACAUCAGCGAAAGCAUUUGCCAAAGGUCGUUUUCAUCA
rnacentral:rRNA from 1 species